rnacentral:misc_RNA from 1 species
GUGAAUCAUCGAAUUUUUGAACGCAAAUUGCACUCUCUGGUAUUCCGGAGAGUAUGCCUGUUUGAGGGUCAGUUUAAAUAAAAAUCGGUGUGGUUGCUGCCUUUCGUGGUGACGCACCGGAUUUGGGUCGUCUUGCCUUCGGUUAAGGGACCUAAAAUUUAGAAUAUUUUUUUGGAAUUAAUUAAAAUGAUUUUUUUUUCGUUUGCGU